rnacentral:rRNA from 1 species
GUGGGGAAUAUUGGACUAUGGGCGAAAGCCUGAUCCAGCCAUGCCGCGUGUGUGAAGAAGGUCUUCGGAUUGUAAAGCACUUUAAGUUGGGAGGAAGGGCAGUAAGUUAAUACCUUGCUGUUUUGACGUUACCAACAGAAUAAGCACCGGCUAACUUCGUGCCAGCAGCCGCGGUAAUACGAAGGGUGCAAGCGUUAAUCGGAAUUACUGGGCGUAAAGCGCGCGUAGGUGGUUUUGUAAGUUGGAGGUGAAAUCCCCGGGCUCAACCUGGGAACUGCCUCCAAAACUGCAUGACUAGAGUACGGUAGAGGGUAGUGGAAUUUCCUGUGUAGCGGUGAAAUGCGUAGAUAUAGGAAGGAACACCAGUGGCGAAGGCGACUACCUGGACUGAUACUGACACUGAGGUGCGAAAGCGUGGGGAGCAAACAGGAUUAGAAACCCGUGUAGUCC